rnacentral:rRNA from 1 species
AGCCCCUCGAGUGGUAGGGACUUUUAUUUGGCCUAAAGCGUUCGUAGCCGUCUGUAACCGUUGCCCGUUAAAUCCAGCGUCUCAAGCGUUGGACUGCGGGGCGAUACCUUACAGAUUGAGGGUGGGAUAGGUAAGCGGUAUUUCUGGGGUAGGGGCGAAAUCCUUUUGAUCCCCAGGAGGACCACCAGUGGCGAAGGCUGCUUACUAGAACACGCCUGACGGUCAGGAACGAAAGCUGGGGUAGCGAACC